AUGAUGGGCUAUAGGACAGGACUGCUGCUUUUAACUCUCUGCUGGGCAGGUGUUGAUGGUCAGACUCCGACACAAUCUGAACCAGUGGUUAAAAAGCCUGCAGAGUCCCACACAUUGACCUGCACAGCCUCUGGAUUCACAUUCAGCAGCAACUGGAUGGUCUGGAUCAGACAGGCUCCUGGAAAAGGACUGGAGUGGAUCACUACUAUCAGAUAUGAUGGUGGCACCACCUACUACUCCCAGUCAGUCCAAGGCCGCUUCAACAUCUCCAGAGACAACAGCAGACAGAAGGUGUAUCUCCAGAUGAACAGUCUGAAGACUGAAGACUCUGCUGUUUAUUAUUGUGCUCUGCUCAGGGCCAGUCCUUCACCUCCUCAGAGCCAGUGGUCAAGAGAGCUGGACAGUCAGUCAUUCUGUCCUGCAAAGUGUCUGGACUUCCUCUUGCUUGGCUGCACUGGAUUCGCCAGAAACCAGGCAGGGGACUGGAAUGGAUAUUUUGUAGUAGAAAUCAUGCUGCAGUUCUUCUUUGAACAUUAG